rnacentral:rRNA from 1 species
GACGAACGCUGGCGGCGUGCUUAACACAUGCAAGUCGGACGGUGAAGCCUUCGGGUGGAUCAGUGGCGAACGGGUGAGUAACACGUGAGCAAUCUGCCCUUGACUCUGGGAUAACUUCGGGAAACCGGAGCUAAUACCGGAUAUGACAUCUGGCCGCAUGGUCUGGGUGUGGAAAGAUUUAUCGGUCAAGGAUGAGCUCGCGGCCUAUCAGCUAGGUUGGGGA